rnacentral:piRNA from 1 species
GUCUGUUUUGACAGGGCGCUGAUUGGUGUGU